UCUCUGAAUCAAUUAGUCUCCAAGAUGCCUGAGCUGCUUGGAUCCUAUGUUAAAUUCUUGAAUAUACUCCAGCUUUUUACCUUUUUUUUGAAAGUGUGCAUCUACAGGUUUCUUGUGGUUGGAAGCAUACAGCAGCGAUAUCAGAUGGCAAGGUUUUAACAUGGGGUUGGGGAGGUUCUCAUGGAACAUUUUCUGAAGAUGGGCAUUCUUCUGGUGGACAACCGGGUCAUGGAAGUGAUGUAGAUUACAUAAAACCUACGAUGGUCCGGGUUGGUGAAAAUGUUAAAGCGUUGGAGGUAUCGUGUGGAUUCAAUCAUACGGGUGCCAUAUUCGAAUUCGUUUAAGCUCCAGCUUCAAAUUUACCAAGUGAUGUAUGGUUUCCAGUAUUCUGGG